CCCGUGCUCUCCCAUGCUGAGCUGCUGUGAUGUGACUGCAAUAGAGAGGAUUUUCCUGGAAGGAGAGAAGGUACUUACACUCCAUGAGGAGACAAGAGUGUUUUCCAGGUCUGCAUUUAAAGUCCUAUGUAUAAUAGACAUAGGGGGAGAUAAAUGAUGCUCCAUCAAGCUGGAGAUGACAGAUGAUAGGGACAUAGAAAGUACAGUCUGCUGUUCUAAUUCUACUUCAGUGCCAAAUGCAGAGGAGCAGACAGGCAAUGAAUACAGCAGUCUUUACUUUACUGACUUCAUGUGUGAAGAGUCAAAUAGGUCAAGUAGCCUUUCUUGCCUUGAGAAGGGAGAUCGGAUAGUUAACCACUUUCCAGGCUGAUUAAUGUCAAGCUGUAUGAAGCAUGUUCUAAAUAUGCCUAUACUGAAGUGUUUCCUUUUCCAACCUAAUCACCUGUCUCUGUCAGUGCAAUAAAAAACCUUUUUGGGUUGUACAUCACUAUAAACCACUAUAGUGUUGCCAUUUCCAUAAUAAUAUUAUGACUAUUUAUUUACACUGAACUGAUUGGUAAUUACAAUAUUACUAUCAUGUUAAUGUAUUCAACUCGCCCGUUUCCUAUGAGGUGUUCCUUCGAGUAGCCGUGGCUCUAGCCAACAUCCAUGUCCAGAUGGUGGGUAACUGUACACCUAUCUUUCCUUCUAUUGAGCCAAGGCCCUCAUUCUCCUCUCUUGCAUUGCUGGCAGAGUUGGGUUGUCAGACACCUGGCGCAUAAAGAUGCCAUGCUGGUGGCCUAGUUAAAGAGAAAUACAGUCUUUUACAGGAUCGGGUUAAGUGUCAGAUCACAGAGGUCCAACUGUUAGGAUAUCUCGCAUCAAAAGAAUGGGACUUUUAAUUCUCCAGUCUAAAUGGAGCCAUGGCAUGCAUACUCAGUCAUUGCUCCAUUUAUUGCUGAUAGGAGUGCCAAAAAUAACAAAGUGCUGUACUCAAAAUUCCCAUAGACAAUGAAUCGAUCAGCGGUUGAGUUUGCACACUAACACUCUAUUCAGAUGAGAGCUUUGGGGGUCCUGUACUCAAGAGUGAGUAACCCUGCCCCAUGAGUAGGGGGAAAGAUUCUAUGGUGACAAAACCCCUAAAAGGUACAAUCUUGCUUUUUGUUGCAGUACCAUUGACUUUGUUUUCAACCCUGACCUUGUUUCCAGAUUUUACUUCUGUCUCACCAUUUGGUUUUGUUGCCUGCUUCCUCUUGCUGUUAUUGACGUAUGAUUUGUCUCCUAUGAUCUGUCUCAUCCUCUAGUUCAGGGGUACUCAACUAUUUUAGUAAUGCAGUACUAGCUUAUGUCACAUGCAAGAAAGAAUAAUUUUUCAUCAAAAAAAAAGCUGAUUGUCUCUUCAUCACUCUCAUCUAAGAUUAUAAAAAAAAGGUGCCAGCUCGACUCGAUCGUUAAGUCCCAAAACACCUGCCGCUUCAAGUCUCAAAAUCCAGUAUGCUUCUCUCCGUAGCAGGGUAACAUGUCUAUCACCACCUUUUGGGAGAGAUUUAACCCUUUCUAUUUUGAUGAAAAAUAAUUCUUUCUUGCAUGUGACGUAAGCUAGUAUUGCAUUACUAUGUUGUUCCAUUCACCUUUUUCACCAUGUGUGUUUUGUUUUGAUCAUGUGUUCACUUUGUUUUGACAUGUGACGUGAGUACCGCCCACCCUGACGCCUAUAUAUGGAGUCACAGGUGAUGCAGUAAUUGUAUACCGGCUUGAAGAAGCGCUGUUACCAGUGUGAAACAGUCUGUCCCAGUCCACGUCCCACGCCUCCCUCUGUACACCUGCCCCUGAUGUCUGGAAUGCCGAAAUAAAGCUCAGUUGAAACCC